CGGGAAUUUUGGGCAAUGGGCGAAAGCCUGACCCAGCAACGCCGCGUGAGGGAUGAAGUAUUUCGGUAUGUAAACCUCGAAAGAAUGGGAAGAAUAAAUGACGGUACCAUUUAUAAGCUCCGGCUAACUACGUGCCAGCAGCCGCGGUAAUACGUAGGGAGCAAGCGUUGUUCGGAUUUACUGGGCGUAAAGGGCGCGUAGGCGGCGCGGUAAGUCACUUGUGAAAUCUCUGAGCUUAACUCAGAACGGCCAAGUGAUACUGCUGUGCUAGAGGGCGGAAGAGGCAACCGGAAUCCUUGGUGUAGCGGUGAAAUGCGUAGAUCUCAAGAGGAACACCUGAGGCGAAGGCGGGUUGCUGGGCCGACACUGACGCUGAUGCGCGAAAGCCAGGGGAGCAAACG
rnacentral:rRNA from 1 species